UCCCUCGUGGCUCAGAGGUUAAAGCAUCUGCCUGCAAUGCAGGAGACCCAGGUUCGAUCCCUGGGUCGGGAA
rnacentral:tRNA from 1 species